GACGAACGCUGGCGGCGUGCCUAACACAUGCAAGUCGAACGAGGUCCAUGCAGUGGCAACACUGCGGAAGACCUAGUGGCGAACGGGUGAGUAACACGUGAGGAACCUGCCCCGAAGACCGGGAUAACUCUCCGAAAGGAGCGCUAAUACCGGAUGCCCCCACCGAACCGCAUGGUUUGGUGAGGAAAUGGAUUCCGCUUCGGGAGGGCCUCGCGGCCUAUCAGCUAGUUGGUGGGGUAACGGCCCACCAAGGCAUCGACGGGUAGCUGGUCUGAGAGGACGAUCAGCCACACUGGGACUGAGACACGGCCCAGACUCCUACGGGAGGCAGCAGUGGGGAAUCUUGCGCAAUGGGCGAAAGCCUGACGCAGCAACGCCGCGUGGGGGAUGAAGGCUUUCGGGUUGUAAACCCCUUUCAGCAGGGACGAAUCAAGACGGUACCUGCAGAAGAAGCCCCGGCUAACUACGUG
rnacentral:rRNA from 1 species